AACGAACGCUGGCGGCGUGGAUUAGGCAUGCAAGUCGAACGCGAAAGAGGGGGCAACUCCUCUAGUAGAGUGGCGAACGGGUGAGUAACAUAUCGGAACGUAUCCAAUAAUGGGGGAUAACUAAUCGAAAGGUUGGCUAAUACCGCAUACGCCCUGAGGGGGAAAGCUAGGGAUCUUCGGACCUGGCGUUAAUGGAGCGGCCGAUAUCUGAUUAGCUAGUUGGUGGGGUAAAGGCCCACCAAGGCGACGAUCAGUAGCUGGUCUGAGAGGACGACCAGCCACACUGGAACUGAGACACGGUCCAGACUCCUACGGGAGGCAG
rnacentral:rRNA from 1 species